GCUCCGUGUGAUACUUGCUUUCUUACUCCUAUAUCUUGUUCCUGUGACUAUAUACGUGUGACGACUAAUAUACAUCAGGUGGUUGACGGAAUACAGGUGACAAGGACAGGUGUUUUAUCCCAUUUUACUAACAUUUUGAGAUUUGGUAUUAGAUACCGCAUGGCUGCGUUUUUUUUUUUUUUUUUUUAGGUAAUAGAAACAAUAUCUAUUACUACAAAGCUUCUAGCCAAUUUGGAAUCAUUGUUUGCCUCUUUAAAUGUCCAGUUCAGGCCUACUAUCUUUAAUUGGGUGUGAUUGUAGAGGUCGCUAUCUUGAACUGGGUGUGAUUCUAGAGGUCGCUUUCUUGAACUGGGUGUGAUUCUAGAGGUCGCUGUCUUGAACUGGGUGUGAUUCUAGAGGUCGCUGUCUUGAACUGGGUGUGAUUCUAGAGGUCGCUGUCUUGAACUGGGUGUGAUUCUAGAGGUUGCUGUCUUGAACUGGGUGUGAUUCCAGAGGUUGCUGUCUUGAACUGGGUGUGAUUCUAGAGGUCGCUUUCUUGAACUGGGUGUGAUUCUAGAGGUCGCUAUCUUGAACUGGGUGUGAUUCUAGAGGUCGCUUUCUUGAACUGGGUGUGAUUCUAGAGGUCGCUGUCUUGAACUGGGUGUGAUUCUAGAGGUCGCUUUCUUGAACUGGGUGUGAUUCUAGUUUUACCAACCUUGCGGGGUGUGCCGAAUGAGAAAAUAAAGAAAGCUACGAGUCUUCUCGUGUUCUCGAUGUGGUGGCCGGUUCCAAACCUUUAAUCAUGUAGGAUAUCCAAAAUUAUGCCUGUUAGCAUUCUUUUUAAGUAUGUGGUUACUGAGAUCAUAAUAAUUAAAGUAAUCACUUUACGCUCCCAUAAUGACCCAAACUGUCAUCUACAUAACAUAGCCUUGCCAGGGAUAGUAACCUGUUGCUGCCAUGGGUGAUCCAGCCCCAGGGGCGUAUUUAGGACCUUGAAACAUUGGGGGCUCAGCCCAGCAUAAAAUGUUGGGUGGUUGGAGGCAAGAAAAACGCGGAGUUUUUAGGGUAAUUCUGAGGCCACUGACGUACAUUAGGGCCAAUUUGUGUGUUAUUUUAUUUACCAGUAACACCGAAAAUAUGGCACAUGUCAUAAUAAAACUUUCAAGGUCAUUAUCAAAUUAUGGUAAAAUGAAUUCUUUCAGGUACGUUUACUGCAGAGAACAAGGCACUAAAAACUGAUGAAACAAUUUAUUAUAGUAAAAUAAGGAACACCUGAAUAAGUGAGCAUCAAAUAAUUAGCAAUCAGAAACUUCCAUUUUUCACAAAUUCAUCUAGUUAUUAAAUUUAUUCUGUUACUUAGGAGAUUGAAAACUACAACUCGGCACCCUUACACUCAACUCUUAUUUCUUGCCUUGAAUUUUUUUUUGUCCAUGUCUGGAAAUUAAGCCACUAACACGUUCAAUAUAAUACCCCGUUUUUUCAUUAGGAAGAUAAACAAUUUGUAAACAAUAUUAAUAUUAAUGGUAGCCACAACUUAAGCCUGAAGAAGAAAUAACCUCACUCCAGCGGCAACAGUGAUCAAUUUAUUUUUUUGCUCUUUUCACCUUUAAAAAAAAAGGAAGAAAAAAACUCAGCCUUUAGCCUUAUAAUAGAUGUAUUGUUUAUCCCGUUAUCAUAGUCUAGGUAAUCAUAGCACGAAAGUAAAUAAUAUAGCUUGUCAGGUUUCAUCUCAUGCUGCCUACUACUCUACUACUACCUUUUAUAAAUUUAGAUGCUGGUUUUUACUCCUGCUAUGUCAUCAUUUCAUGCAGGCUGCAAGUUUAUUUAACCCUUUCACUACGGCUAGGCCAAAAUAGCGCCCUGCGCCAUAUCUGUGAUCGCCGCGUGCACCAAAUUUAGAAUGUCGCCAUUGAAUAGAACAAGUUUUCAGCCAUAACUCAACAUAAUCAUGUAUUAUAUAUGAAAACAUGCAGAAUUAAAUGGUGCACAUAAAGAAACAAGUUAAUUGAUAAUUUUGAGAUGUAAGUAUAAAUAUACAGAGAUGAAAUAACUCAUACUGGCUAAAGCGAGCCAGGAUACAGUAUGCGCGUCCUCGGAUAUGAUACGGUGCAUGUAAGGACGCAGUAUACAUGUUCUUGUGUUGAAGGGGUUAAUACAGAGUUAAAGAUGCAUUAAAAGCUUCUUUAACUGUUAUGCUUUUAACUUAUUUUUAUAUCAACGAAGUUCGAUCUCACAUAAUUGUCAAGUAACUAUAUAAUGACCACAGGAUUCGGUAAAUAAUAACUGAAUCCCUUGAAAAUUGGAAAAAUUACGGUCCCUCAUCCCACUUUGAACUGCUGAAUGCUUGAGCAAUUCGGUGCAGUGUGCACAUUUCCCAUCAUUACAGUAUACAUAACUACCAUAUUUUUUUAAGGAGUUAGUAUGCCUUGUGUGACAAACACAUUUGAGAACCACUCAGCUAGACUAUGGCUGCUUGCUAGCUGGCUAAAGAGCCUUCUGCUUCACAAACCUGAGCUAACAGACAAUGUAAAGGCAGCGGCAGUCUCCCGUCAUGACUCAUCUGCAGUUACAGCAACAGCAGGAAGUAACUCUUCCCCCGCCUGCUCUUGCCUUGCAGGCUGCAACUCAUUGCCUUGGUCCCCUUUCUAUUUGAAUAAAGCUGCUUAUAUCCAUAGCCUCACUCGGGUCUUGCUCGCCACUACCAAGAUCAACAAGCUCUCGCUCACAUGUGUGCGCAGGCCAGGAUACUCACCUUGGCGGGCACCUAGCACCACUGCCUGACUGAAGGCUGGCAGGCGAGUGGCUGUGAACCGGACAGGAACAAACCGUAUGAUCUCCGUAUGAGAUCUAUGAAAUUAAUUUCUGUUACUAACAGCUUAACAAGAAUUAACAUUUUGUAUUGGCCUGGCUGGGGCUAAAAAAAAAAAAAAAAAAAAAAAAAAAAAAAAAAAAAAAGAGGAGAUCCAGGGCUAUACUUAAAACAUUCGGGGCUAUAGCCCUGAAAGCCCAGGCCUAACUACGCCACUGUCCCAC